GGAUGUGAGAGCAAACUGGCUGCAACGUUUGUUAUCCUAUUGAUGCCAUGGUUGAUUCAGCUGAUCUGGUUGGCUAAGCAGGUGUCCUGUUCUUAACAGCUCUGUAUACAUCCCUCCCUUCCUGAAAGAGGAACAUUUGUCUUUGGUCAAGGGUGUAUGAGUAGCUGCACUCCUCUGCUAGAACCUCCAGACAUGUUCUCAAGAAUCUGUCAGGGAAAACUUGUAGGCAUCUAGAUGAAAAUCAUUGCUUAUGUUUGGGCUGUAAGAAUA
rnacentral:snRNA from 1 species